CCUCUGUUCCUAAAUUCUUGU
rnacentral:miRNA from 1 species